GAAAAUCUCUAUGAAAUGGUGAAUUUUGUUGAUCUCCUGACUCAACUCAGUUACUCUCAGCUCCCCAGAAUCCCACCAUUUUAAGAAAGCUAGAACCCACUUGUAUGGGAACUUCAGAAUCAUGGCCUGAACCUCUGAUUGAUCAUCUGAGGAAAGCACUGUGUCAGCUGCGGGAGCACAGGUGAAGGCAAUUCGCCUGUGUGACUGGAAAGGGUGGAGCCUGGCUGUACCUCUCCUAGACCCUAUUUAAUGGCUGACUGCCACAGAGGAAGGAUCUCUUCCUGGAGGUUGUUCCCUCGGGAGUUUUCUUGUGAGCCUACAUUACAGCCUCCAGAAGAACAUCACUGCUUUUGAAGAAGCAUCCCUGCUCUGCAGAGAAAUCUCCCCAGGCCUGGCAACCUAAAAACUGUGGUUGUCAUUGAGCGAGCCUGAAGUUGUGCGCGUAGUUCAUUUCAGCAGCAGCCUGGGAAUGAUCCUGAGCUGAUUAAACUGUGCUAAGUCAUCAGCUGCUGGUGCUGAAGGCUGUUCUAUGACUUGGAGUUGAGAACUGCAGUGGUUUCCUCAUUUACAUACGGACUUGUUGGGAAGGAGCAUCAUGCAGAUAUCUGUUAAAUGCACAGAGAUGCUCUAAUGGGUGCAAAGUGGUUUUGUGUCUGAAAUUUGGUGCUGUUAAUAAUUUAGGAGCACAUAAAAAAGUCCACCUGGGGGGAGGCUGGAGCUUCUAGCUGCUGCAAAGAGCUACCAUAAAACCCAGGCUGACCCAGAUGGCAGCUGGACAGGCUUGGCCCCAGAGAAGCUGGAUUUUGGCUGUUAGCAAAAAGUCAUCUUAGGGCUGUCAGAAAUCAGCCUUGAUUUACUUGCACAGAACACAGAUUAAUUGGACAGAAUAUAAAGGACACUAAUGGCUAAACCUCACAGAUGAAUUAUCAAACCAGGUAGACCUCCUGCCUGGCACAAAAGAUGCUGGCAAACCACCCAGAAAUGAGGCAGAUUUGCUUGCAGCCAUGUGUUCCCUCUGCUUUUCUGUGACAGUGCAGCCAUUUGUAAUCUGCUGGUGAUUUACCUGUGUGUGUGUGACAAAAAGGAAGGUGAGACGUGGUUUUUUGCAUUUUGUUCUGCCCAAUCAGUGUGCUAUCUCGCCAGAGGCAAGCACAGAGAGGGAUGGAAAAGCCAAUUUUCCUAUUUUCACAGUGGUUUAAAGAAAGUGCACAGAAACUAUUUUGGUGGAUCUGCAGUCUGUUAGAAGUGUCCAUUAAACAGAUUUCCACUUACUCUAGCAGAGCUCUGGUGACUUACAUCAGUCAAGAAUCAGCUCAUCAUUUCCUUUAAAGUUACUCAUUCUGUGGUUAGGAGCUCUCUAAGCAGCAUUUCAACUGAAUUUUUAAAGAGAAGAAACCCUCAAUGAACUUUCUGAUGCAAAUACAAGUUUGAAGUGAUAUUUCACAGCAAUAAUGUAGUUAAUUUUCUUCUUCCAGAGCUUUCGGUGAGCUUCAGUGAAAGGGAUGUUCCAUCUUCUUGGUCUCUGUAUUAAUAUUUGUACUUUGUGUUACGUUUUACAAAAACCAUUUUCACAGACCUUUUUAUUUGAAUUCAGCAUGUUAAACAUGGCUUUCAUAAACCUCUGAUGUGCUAUCAAUAAUUUACCAAGCACAAGGCUUACAACUUAGCUAAAAGUUAUCAUCUAUAAUGUAUACAUCUACUUGCGUUUUCCCAGAAGCAGUGCAAUUUGACCUUUUGCUAUACAAAGGAGUAAGCUGUUUCUGCAUGGUGAGGCUGUGGUUUUCCUCUUUGUUUUGCACUGCAAGCAUUGCAUAAUCUUGAAUUUAAAAAAGAAAAAAAAAAGACAUUAAGUUGCAAGGUGUUUAGGCUGGGAAACAAAUACAAGCCCUACUAUACUCUCUUGAGCAGCGUGUUAUACUACAGUGUAAAAUUUCAUACUAAAAAUGUUUUGGAGCCCUGUCACAGCUUAACACUGUGCUCCUGAGGAUAAUUAUACCUUUGGGAGCAAUUCACUUUUUCCUCAAAAUGAAGCUGUUUCCUUAGACAUGGCAUGUUUUCAGAUGUGCCAAAGUGACCUGAGGGGUUUUAGUUACGUGGUUAGAGUGAUGCUGGGUGUCCAUUGAAAUCAAUGGGACUUAGUUUCCUAAAAGUCCAAGUUGCUUUUGAGAAUAGGCAUUACGCAGCCAAGUCACUUUGAUCUGGCAUUACAGCUCUGUUUAAAAAAGAUUCUGCUGUUUUG